UGGGGAAUAUUGCACAAUGGGCGCAAGCCUGAUGCAGCAACGCCGCGUGAGGGACGACGGCCUUCGGGUUGUAAACCUCUUUUAGCAGGGAAGAAGCGCAAGUGACGGUACCUGCAGAAAAAGCACCGGCUAACUACGUGCCAGCAGCCGCGGUAAUACGUAGGGUGCAAGCGUUGUCCGGAAUUAUUGGGCGUAAAGAGCUCGUAGGCGGUUUGUCGCGUCUGCUGUGAAAACGCGAGGCUCAACCUCGCGCCUGCAGUGGGUACGGGCAGACUAGAGUGCGGUAGGGGAGAUUGGAAUUCCUGGUGUAGCGGUGGAAUGCGCAGAUAUCAGGAGGAACACCGAUGGCGAAGGCAGAUCUCUGGGCCGUAACUGACGCUGAGGAGCGAAAGCGUGGGGAGCGAACAGGAUUAGAUACCCUGGUAGUCCACGCCGUAAACGUUGGGAACUGAUGUAGGGACCAUUCCACGGUUUCUGUGUCGCAGCUAACGCAUUAAGUUCCCCGCCUGGGGAGUACGGUCGCAAGACUAAAACUC
rnacentral:rRNA from 1 species